GACGAACGCUGGCGGCGUGCUUAACACAUGCAAGUCGAACGGAAAGGCCCUGCUUUUGUUUGUUUCUCGAUUGGCGAACGGGUGAGUAACACGUGAGUAUCCUGUCCUUGACUUUGGGAUAACUUCAGGAAGCUGGGGCUCAUACCCGAUAGGAUCUUCUGCUGCAUGUGGUGGGUUGGAGAGAUUCGGCGUUUGGGGAUGGACUCGCGGCUUAUGAGCUUCAUGGUGGAGUAGUUGCGUACGAGGCCUACGACGGGUAGGCGGCAUGGGAGGGUGAACGGCCACAUUGGGACUGCGAGACGGCCCAGACGCCUACGGGAGGCAGCAGUCGGGAAUAUUGCAGAGUGGGCGGACGCCUGAUGCGGCAACGCCGCGUGCGGGAUGACGGCCUUCGGGUGAUAAACCGCUUUCGCAUGUGCCGAAGCGUGAGUGACGGUAAUGGGUCAAGAAGCACCGGCUAACUACGUG
rnacentral:rRNA from 1 species